GACGAACGCUGGCGGCGUGCUUAACACAUGCAAGUCGAACGAUGAUGCUGGAGCUUGCUCCAGUUGAUUAGUGGCGAACGGGUGAGUAACACGUGAGCAAUCUGCCCUUGACUCUGGGAUAACUGCGGGAAACUGUAGCUAAUACCGGAUACUUUCACCGGGGGGCAUCCUCUGGUGAUGAAAGAAUUUCGGUCAAGGAUGAGCUCGCGGCCUAUCAGCUUGUUGGUGAGGUAACGGCUCACCAAGGCGACGACGGGUAACCGGCCUGAGAGGGUGACCGGUCACACUGGGACUGAGACACGGCCCAGACUCCUACGGGAGGCAGCAGUGGGGAAUAUUGCACAAUGGGCGCAAGCCUGAUGCAGCAACGCCGCGUGAGGGAUGAAGGCCUUCGGGUUGUAAACCUCUUUUAGCAGGGAAGAAGCGAAAGUGACGGUACCUGCAGAAAAAGCACCGGCUAACUACGUGCCAGCCGCCGCAGUAA
rnacentral:rRNA from 1 species